GGACAGCAAGGCCACGUGGCAGCAUGCUUCAUUGCUUGAAUCAUGAUUAAAAGGUCCAGUCACUUUUAGUGGAGCAGGUCUCAGGAAUAAGGAACAAAAGAAACUAUGAUAUUGAAGAUGAGAUAAAGGUGAAGAGAUGAAAAAUUGAAGGGAAGAAAGAGAAAAGGGAAAGAAAUUGAUCCCUGAGUUGUGCCGUAAAGUUAUGUUAAUAGAAGAGCGCAAGAUAAGGUUGAGAAACUUGAGGAUGACCUUUUAGGACUUAAGGAUGACAUUAUUGAUUAAGAAUUUUUUAUGAUACCAAUACAAAGGAGCAAUAAAAGAAAUACGAAAAGAUAAAAGCAGUCAGUAAGAGAGUGACAGUAGUAGUGAGGAUGACAUGAAGGCAAAGAUAAUUGGAGAGGAGGAGGAAUUAAGAUGAAUAAUAUGCAAUGGAGAAAGAGAGGGAGAAGGAUUUGCUGAAGAGAGAUACCUUGACUGUCAGAAUAAAAAAAGAUAUAGAGAAGAUUAGAAAAUUAUCAGAAAAAUUAUUAUCAUUGUCACUUUCUCCUCUAUCUUUCUCUCUUCCCUCUUUUUCCAGGGUUAUGAAGAACCAAUGAAAUAACUACAGAUUGCUGAAAAGGGCCAAAGUAAAUUGGUCACAAUGAUCCCAGAGUUACAUUUAAAAUGUUAACUUGGAGACCAUGCUCAAGAUAAACUUGCAGAGCUGGAGGCUGAUGUAAUUGAUAACAAAUAUCUGUUCUCUGACUCUGAUAACAACUACCAAAUUGACUAAGAGGGAAAAUGCUGAGCACCUGCAGAAAAAGAAAUUAAAGGAGCUUACUGAUGAGCAUAGAAAUGCAAAGGGCAUGAGAAGAUUGAAUGGUAUAAUAUUUCUUCUGUGAUGAGUAAGCACCACUUCAUAGUACAUGUAUCAGCUAAGUGUGAAAAAGGAAUUGCUUUUAUUUAUUGCAUUUUGUCUUUCUCAUUGUUGGGGCCGUACACUUAAGAAAAUGGGAGAACAAGUAAGGCAUAACCCAGUGACAAAAAUGCUAAAGAGAAAAACAAAGUCAAAAAAGAGUAUAAUCUUGUCAGCAUGGAUGAUGAGAUAGCAUUUGUCUUGGCUGAAACUGUUAGAUUACAAUAAAGAAGAGAAUGAAGUAGAAAUGUCUGAAGAUUGUAAAUUGAAGAAGAACUGUAAAUUGAAGAAGAAAGAUUGAAUUUGAAGAAGGAUAUGAGUUUCUCUCUUUCAUUAUAAUACCUAAUAGAGUAGGAGGAGUUUGCCUAUCUUUCCUUAUUAUGAGUCAUUGCUGGAAGCUGUCAAAAAUCAUGAGGUGACAGAGAUUGAUAAUCAGUGGCAACUGAAAUUAGCUCCCCACUAUUAAAAAACAAAGGACAUACACAAGAUGAGAAUAGGAAGAUGCCAAAGGGAGCAGGGAUCAUAGGAUGAAACUAGAUAUAAUAACCAGUUUUUAAUAAUGUACAAGCACCACAUUUCUGUAUGUUAUUUAUGAAAAUGAACAUUAUUGUAAUAUUGAGAUUAAUAAACACAGAAGAAAUUAGCAUUUUGUUAGACCUUAA